rnacentral:rRNA from 1 species
GCUCCGGUCUCGUGGGCUCGGAGAUGUGUAUAAGAGACAGGGCCUGAACCAGCCAAGUAGCGUGAAGGAUGACUGCCCUAUGGGUUGUAAACUUCUUUUAUAAAGGAAUAAAGUCGGGUAUGCAUACCCGUUUGCAUGUACUUUAUGAAUAAGGAUCGGCUAACUCCGUGCCAGCAGCCGCGGUAAUACGGAGGAUCCGAGCGUUAUCCGGAUUUAUUGGGUUUAAAGGGAGCGUAGAUGGAUGUUUAAGUCAGUUGUGAAAGUUUGCGGCUCAACCGUAAAAUUGCAGUUGAUACUGGAUAUCUUGAGUGCAGUUGAGGCAGGCGGAAUUCGUGGUGUAGCGGUGAAAUGCUUAGAUAUCACGAAGAACUCCGAUUGCGAAGGCAGCCUGCUAAGCUGCAACUGACAUUGAGGCUCGAAAGUGUGGGUAUCAAACAGGAUUAGAUACCCUGGUAGUCCACACGGUAAACGAUGAAUACUCGCUGUUUGCGAUAUACAGCAAGCGGCCAAGCGAAAGCGUUAAGUAUUCCACCUGGGGAGUACGCCGGCAACGGUGAAACUCAAAGGAAUUGACGGGGGCCCGCACAAGCGGAGGAACAUGUGGUUUAAUUCGAUGAUACGCGAGGAACCUUACCCGGGCUUAAAUUGCAGAUGAAUUACGGUGAAAGCCGUAAGCCGCAAGGCAUCUGUGAAGGUGCUGCAUGGUUGUCGUCAGCUCGUGCCGUGAGGUGUCGGCUUAAGUGCCAUAACGAGCGCAACCCUUGUUGUCAGUUACUAACAGGUUCCGCUGAGGACUCUGACAAGACUGCCAUCGUAAGAUGUGAGGAAGGUGGGGAUGACGUCAAAUCAGCACGGCCCUUACGUCCGGGGCUACACACGUGUUACAAUGGGGGGUACAGAGGGCCGCUACCACGCGAGUGGAUGCCAAUCCCAAAAACCUCUCUCAGUUCGGACUGGAGUCUGCAACCCGACUCCACGAAGCUGGAUUCGCUAGUAAUCGCGCAUCAGCCACGGCGCGGUGAAUACGUUCCCGGGCCUUGUACACACCGCCCGUCAAGCCAUGGGAGCCGGGGGUACCUGAAGUGCGUAACCGCGAGGAGCGCCCUAGGGUAAAACUGGUGACUGGGGCUAAGUCGUAACAAGGUAGCCGUACCGGAAGGUGCGGCUG